rnacentral:misc_RNA from 1 species
GAAUCGCCGCGAACAAGGACGGCAGCGACUUCAAGUACAGCGCACGCGCAAAAUCCGCCGCGUAGGAGGCGUUGUCAAACGUCUACGCUCCCCCCUCACUCCCUACCUCCUCGCACACACUCCGUCGCUUUCCUCUCCGCCAUGUCGUCCUCCAUGAUUCCACUGAGCGCGACGGCGCAGCGCGUCAAGAUGCUGGAGUGCGGGCCGUGUGCACUUCGCUCAGCGAUGCGGAGGGCCGAUCGAGAGAGCUGGACACCGCCGCUGGCAGACGUCGCUGUGGACAUCGUGGCCGGUGCCCUCACUCUCACCAGCGCCAACGAGGUUCUCGUCCCCGCCUCACUCGUGCACUAUGUGGAGUCCUGCAGGACAGAGGCGAAGCGGACUGCCAGUGGCGCGCUGACGCAGUGGCCAUGGCCAGCCUGGGACGUGGCACUCAAGGAGCAGCGCCUGGUGACCCUGGUCACGGCCGGGGACGUGGCACGCCUCGUGAGUAGCGACUGCUACGGCGGCGCCUACCGCACCUUGUGCGUUCCCGUUCCGGCUGGACCUCUUGUAGCACAGCUCGAUUUCGGCAUCACUGUGGACAGGUUUUAUGCAGAGGUGCUGCCAGGGGUGCUGGACGUGGUCGGGGCAGACGGUCGUGUUCGGUGGCGCGCUUGGAUGCGGUCGGCGCUCACGUGUGCGUACGAAGGCACGCAUGUGCCACCGAUCCGCGUUGCGGAGUACACGAGCCAACUGCUUCGGCAGACGGGCGGGUGCGAGAGCGUGAUGUGGGAGGCCGCCGUGACAGGCCUGACUCCUCGCUGGCUGGAGACGGCGUCCAAGACGGCUUUAGCGGUAGGCGUGCCAUCAGGGUUGCUGGCACUGGCACUGCCAGAGGAGUCCGGCUGCACAGCGCGACUGCUGGCCAAGUCUGUCGAGGUCGGCGUCACGUCGUGGGCGACGUGCGCGGUCGCUAGCAGCCCUCUCUACCCUCACACUUCUCCCGUGGCCUCUCCACAGACAGUGCAGCUCUUCACGACCGGCUGGAAUGAUGUGUCUGCAGCUGCGGCGCCAACGUGCGACGGCGACGCCGCCGUUGACGCCGCGGAGGAGAGCCUGGGGCAGUGCUUCGACUUUGUGGACGCCGUCACAGAGCGAGUCGGAGCUGUCCUGCACACCGAUGCGUGAAGGACUCCAAGAAUCAGGCGUGUUGCGCGACCACAGGCACAGGCAGGUGAUCAGAGAAGUGAAGACAGAAGCGUGGAGCUCAGGGGACGAGGCUCGGUAGAUGACGGGGCCCGCCCUUUCGCAAGAGCAGCACCUACUUCGCUUACUUGGUCUUUGUACCAUCGCGUUGUCUCUCUCCCACCCCGCCCCUGCCGUUGGCCAGCAUGAUUCGCCGCCUCUGCCGCGCUGUCACGGUGCCGCCUGCGUGGCACUUCCGUCUUACUCACAGCUGCACGCGCUGCUGAGAACGCGACGCAUCGUUUUCCUUUGCAUGUCUGCUGCAUUUGUGUUGACCAAUGACACAGCACCGGUGCACGGACAGAGUC